UGAGUAAUCUGCCCUCGAUUCUGGGAUAGCCCGGGGAAACCCGGAUUAAUACCGGAUAGCCUCUCGAGCUUACGAGCUCGUGAGAAAAGGUAGCUUCGGCCUCCGAUCGAGGAUGAGCCCGCGGCGGAUUAGCUUGUUGGUGGGUAAUGGCCCACCAAGGCGACGAUCCGUAGCUGGUCUGAGAGGACGAUCAGCCACACUGGGACUGAGACACGGCCCAGACCUCCCGUAAGGAAGG
rnacentral:rRNA from 1 species